UUUAACUGAAGAGUUUGAUCAUGGCUCAGAUUGAACGCUGGCGGCAGGCUUAACACAUGCAAGUCGAGCGGGGGAAGGUAGCUUGCUACUGGACCUAGCGGCGGACGGGUGAGUAAUGCUUAGGAAUCUGCCUAUUAGUGGGGGACAACAUCUCGAAAGGGAUGCUAAUACCGCAUACGUCCUACGGGAGAAAGCAGGGGAUCUUCGGACCUUGCGCUAAUAGAUGAGCCUAAGUCGGAUUAGCUAGUUGGUGGGGUAAAGGCCUACCAAGGCGACGAUCUGUAGCGGGUCUGAGAGGAUGAUCCGCCACACUGGGACUGAGACACGGCCCAGACUCCUACGGGAGGCAGCAGUGGGGAAUAUUGGACAAUGGGGGGAACCCUGAUCCAGCCAUGCCGCGUGUGUGAAGAA
rnacentral:rRNA from 1 species